rnacentral:rRNA from 1 species
CAAGUCUUGACAUCCCUCUGAAUCCUCUAGAGAUAGAGGCGGCCUUCGGGACAGAGGUGACAGGUGGUGCAUGGUUGUCGUCAGCUCGUGUCGUGAGAUGUUGGGUUAAGUCCCGCAACGAGCGCAACCCUUGAUUUUAGCUGCCAGCACUUUGGGUGGGCACUCUAGAAUGACUGCCGGUGACAAACCGGAGGAAGGCGGGGAUGACGUCAAAUCAUCAUGCCCCUUAUGACUUGGGCUACACACGUACUACAAUGGCUGGUACAACGGGAAGCGAAGCCGCGAGGUGGAGCCAAUCCUAUAAAAGCCAGUCUCAGUUCGGAUUGCAGGCUGCAACUCGCCUGCAUGAAGUCGGAAUUGCUAGUAAUCGCGAUCAGCAUGCCGCCGGUGAAUACGUUCCC